rnacentral:misc_RNA from 1 species
AGUAUUGUCGCCCCCUUUCCUAAUAACCCAAUUACACGGCACUAACACAAGAAGGGGGGGAAGAGGAAGAGACUGUUUAAGAGACAACCUAACAACUCUCCAAGAAUGUCUUGUCUAGGAUUGGGAAUGAUGUAAUUAGAUUGAGUAUGGUGUAGAACAUUCCAAAACCAUACCAAUACAUCAUAGUUCUUGCUUAUAUGU